GUACAGAGGGUUGCCAACCCGCGAGGGGGAGCUAA
rnacentral:sRNA from 1 species